rnacentral:rRNA from 1 species
UGAGGAAUAUUGCGCAAUGGGGGCAACCCUGACGCAGCGACGCCGCGUGAGUGAGGAAGGCCUCGGGUCGUAAAGCUCUGUCAACGGGAAAGAAGUGCAUGGUGGCUAAUACCUGCCAUGUUUGACGGUACCCUUAAAGGAAGCUCCGGCUAACUCCGUGCCAGCAGCCGCGGUAAUACGGAGGGUGCAAGCGUUGUUCGGAAUCACUGGGCGUAAAGGGCGCGUAGGCGGUUUGAUAAGUCAGAUGUGAAAGCCCACGGCUUAACUGUGGAAGUGCAUUUGAAACUGUCAGUCUUGAGUAUCAGAGGGGAAAGUGGAAUUCCCGGUGUAGCGGUGAAAUUCGUAGAUAUCGGGAGGAAUACCGGUGGCGAAGGCGACUUUCUGGCUGAAUACUGACGCUGAGGCGCGAAAGCGUGGGGAGCAAACA